ensembl:lncRNA
AGAAGAGUGGUGUUCACACAUUUAACUUCCUCUAUUCUCCUCUACUGGAGUCCUCCCUGUGACGUACUGAAAUAACAAAAAGCUUGAAAACUGCAUCAAACAAAUGAAGAACCUGGAAACGUUUUUUCAUAUUUUUGAUAUUUAAAAGAGACAGGCAAGUUAGAGAUCUUCCAUAUUAAGAUUCAUUCAGCAAGUGUGUUGUUGAUGUCACUAUGAGGAAGUGAGCAGGAAGUCAGUGGUGUAUUCAUCUUUGUUACUGCCUCAUUUGUGAACGUGAGAACAAGAGUACAGACUGAGAGAGACAGAGAAGCAUGAUGGCUGAGUUCAGAUGGAUUCAAAUGCUUCUGUUCCUGAUACUGAUGCUUCAGUUUAAAGCAGCAGUAACUGGACAACGCGGCCCCACAUUCCUGGUCAGAGUUGGUGAUGAAGUCACUUUGCCUUGUCAAAAUGUGACAGUUGGUCAGCCUGAGUGUGGCAGAACUGACUGGUUCUUCAAACGUUUGAAUGUUGCUGAGUCAGUCAGGCUGAUUCAUCUCGGUUUGAUUGAAGAAAAACACAAAAAUAAAUCAGACAGACUGAGUGUUACAGCAAACUGUUCUCUGGUCAUAAAGAACAUCUCAGUUCAUGAUGCUGGUCAGUACACCUGCAGACGCGACACAUCACAAGACCAACGACAAUUUACAGAUUCCUGUUCUUCUCUGUCUGUCAUCAACAUGACUGAACAUGAGAACAGUGGUACAGUCAUCUUGUCCUGCUCUGUGUUGGAGUAUGAUUUAUGUACACACACAGUGCAGUGGAUCUAUGAGGGUGAAGAGAAAUCCUCAGACAUGCCGAUAUCACCACGAGGCUGCACUGUCACUGUGACAUUUACAACAUCUCACCUUAAUAAGACCUUUUUUGAGUUAUUAAAGUGUAAAGUGACAAAUCAGAACAGCAAGAAAGUGCAGCUGUUUCCUUUCAGCCGUCAGUCCUCAGGUGGGACAACAGAUGGGGAUAAAUCAUCAGAUAGCAAAAUAUUUCUUUCUGUCUCUCUUUGUGUUAUCAUUCAUUUUUUACCUUGCUCAGUCAGUCUCAGUGUGUUUCAGUCUCUUUUUACAAAUUAUUGCUUUCAGCUCAUCAUAACCAGUGACCACAUUGAACAUUAUCAUUUGGUUUUACAGAUUUAUUAUAUCCAUCUGUUAUUGUUCCUGUAUGUUUAGUGACACUCUUAAUUUUUGUAGCAUUCAUCAUAUCGAAGAAAAGUAAAGGUGUGAACAUUUUCAUAUUAAACUGAUUAUUAACUGUUUAAUAAAUGAAAAGAAAUGCUCAGACAUGCAGACAUUACCUUCAGGCUGCAUUGCCACUGUGACAUUUACAACAUCUCACCUUAAACAGUUUUUUGAGUUAUCAAAGUGUAAUGUGAUGAAUAAGUACAGUUAGAAAGUGCAGCUGUUUCCUUUCAGUCCUCAGGUGUGAAAAAUAGUGAGCAUAUUAACCUUAAUAACACACAGUGACACAGAGCGGCAAUAUCAUUAUUAUUUUAAAGGUAACAAAGCUUUUCCUAAAAGAACACUUCUUUAAAAAAAUCUGUAUUUGUUCUGAUGGAGCUGCACCAAGAGAUGAAGGUAACGGCAGAAUAUGUUUUUCUGUCUUAAUAUUUAUUUUCCAUGAAUGACACAGCUCUGUUUUUUUCAUUUGUUGUAAAAGUAAAACAUGAUUGUUCUAAAUUUUUACCUUGUGUUUAUUUUUGUGAGAGCAAUUCCACAGUUUGUAAUGAUAUUUAAAUAUUGUAAAUGGAAAUGUACACAGAAAACAUAUACUCACCACAACCUAUAACACCGUCUGUAUUUGUAAUAUGUGAAAUCUUUUUUUUUCUCCACAAAACAAAAAUCUGAAGCAAAACCUGAAGAUUCAGAUUUUCCAUCAUUGUUGAGAUGCAUCAUUGUGUCUGUGGGAUUAGCAGCACUCUUAAUAUCUGCUGUUACAGUCAACAUGUGGGCAAAAACUAAAGGUGAGAACAUUCACAGAUUAAAUUUUUAUACCAGAGAUGUGUUGAUGAAGCUGAAAGUUUACUCUCUUUUAUUUUUAGCAAACAAACCACAAAAGGAAAAAAACACUGUGAGUAUAAACACUGAAUAUUCAGAUAAUUUAUCAUGAUUGUAAUUUUUAUGUUUUUGGAUUUGAAAUCUUCUUUGAUUGUAAUUUAGUGGAUGUAACAUAAAGAUCAUUUUAAAUAAUUUUCAGAAGUUUAAUUUUAAACAACAUUUAAAUCUAAUUAGAGUUUUAGUUUAGAAGUGAUUUGUGUUUUGUGUCAGGCUGGGUUUCAAUAAUCAAUUUUCCAAUUAAAAUCGAUUUUAGCUUGAAUAACGUGAUAUCAAUUCAUUCAAAUCCUGAAUCGAUUUUUAAAUAUAAAUCUAUUUUGCCAGAAACGCCAGAAUCUCAGCUUAAAACUUUCAUUUCAACAACCACCAAACAGCAAAAACAGUAAAUGAUUCCACACACAGACGUAAACACAAAGUGCGGACCUGAAACAUCAGAAUCAGUGAGCUGUCGGCUUUCUCACCUGAUGUGAGGUACACGGACACGUCGUUGGCUGAAAUCCGACAGCUCACAGAUUCUGAUGCUACAGGUUUCAUUACUCACCGACCAAAAUUCACUGAAUCAGCAGCAAAAGAAGAUCCAAACUAUGCUUCUAAUUCCCACCACAGUAAAAUCACACUUCCUACACAGCUCUGUCUCUCUCUCAGUGUACUUUAAGAACAGUUUCCCAUCUCAAAUAUCUGUUUUCUGCUUUAUUCUCUUGCUUAUUACACACCAGCCUACCAUUGUGUACAGUGCUGACGGCCACUGUUUUUUUUGUUUUUUUGGGGGUUUUUUUGGUUUUGUUUUCAAAAAUGACCUCUGACAAGAAAGCCACACAUCUGAAGAAAUUUAAACUUUUUAAAAUUCUUCAAAAUUGCAAAAUUCUUAGUUGUGUCUCUAAUGAAACCUCUGUAACUUUGCUCUGCUUCACUUCAGCAGCAUCAGGUAAUGUUCGUCUGUUGAUUCAUGGUUUUCUUCAGUUUUUGUUCUACUGCAGAAUAUUUUUAAGGUUAUCUGCUAUAAAAAGCCAGGCAAGGAAACUCUUCUUCAUGUUUUUCUGUUUUAUCCUCAGUUACUUGGACACAAAGGCAUUUGCUGUGAUGCUUACACCUCUGAUUAAGUCUUACAAGUGUCAGCUUUCUUUUUAUAGAUAUAAAAAUAGAAGAAAUCAGAGACGAUACCCAGCCCUAGUUUUGUGUGUUCUCUUGUAUCUAGUCGAGUCUUCAUCUCCACAUUAAAUAGUUACUUGUUUAGACACUUCAUGUUAUUUGUUAAUCUCGUGCUUCAGUUUAAAUUUUACUUCCUGUCUGUGAUUGUGUCUGUUUAUCUGUAUCUCAUCUCCACUUCCACAAGUUUUCCCUGUGUGUAUUUAUCUCCUCUUUGUUCCUUUUCAAAUAUUCUGUUGUGUUCUACCAUGUGUUCUCAGCAAGUAAGUUUUUUGUUUCUCUUCACUGGAUUUUUGUAUUCUUGGACUGCUGUCAACCACGUGCAAACAUGUCAUGUUAAAUCCUGCCUGCUUGUUUUGUAGAGUCUGCUUUUGGGUCCCUACAGCUGAUAAAUGCAGUUAUUUGUUCCUAUGAACUGUGAACAUACACACAGGAGAAGACUAAAGAGAAGAAUACACUGUGCUCGCUGUUAGAGUGAAAUUACAUGUUAUCUCAGAAGAGAAUUUUUGGGGGGGUGGUUUUCUAAAGAAAAAAUAAUCUGUGUACGGAGACGAUGCAGACACAAACCUGAAAACUCCAAACAGUCCAAACAUAUGAAUAUCAGUUAUAUGAGACAAUCUAAAGUGUGUUGUGUUGUUUUCCACAGGUGUAGAAUGAUGAAGAUGAAGGUACAGUGACCUAUGAAAACUCUGGAGACCCUUCAGCUUCUGUCAGACUCCACUGAUCAUCAACAUCAACUCAGCAAAGAAACAAGUCGACUUCUGUUGAAGAUCAUCUCAUCACAUUUUAUAUGUGAAGAACACAGACUCACAAGAUUAUUUUAAUAUUUUCACUGUCCUUACACUCCACUUUUCAUCCAAUAAGAUGAGGAUUUUAUCAGACAGUUUUUCCUGCCAUGGUCACAUAAACCUCCCGUGUCGAGCUACAUACCAUCUCCCUCCCUCGGCGUUUACACUUUUUGUCUCUCUAUAUUUUGUGUUUGUGAGAGAGAGACUGAUCAGCUGGUACAUCUGUCUCAAAUACCUAAUCACAGCCAUUUAAACACAGUUUCAUCCAUUCAGUCGUCUCUAGAUUGUUGUGUUAGGUGUGUCUGUAGUAUCACUCAGUCUCCAUAGAAGAACUUUGACUUAUUUGCGAUUCCUGUUUUCUCCACAGACUAAUCUUACAUUGCCUUAAUUUUCCUCCUCCAGAUCAAAUACUCAGUUCUGGAAUAACUGCCUGUUCUUCCUCCACCGCUCACCAAACCCAGCAGCAGGACCCAUUCACCCUCACCUGCAUUUUCAAAGUCUUUGUUAUAAAACUCUCAACCUGAUUCUAGUGUUAAAGCCUGCUUUAAAGUCCAUUUCUUCUGUUUAACAAUAAUAAUAAUCAAAAAGGAAAUGUAGUUUCUAACCUGCAUUUAAAUCUGAAUGAAACAGUUUGAUCUCACCUUCAUCUAACAUGAACAUAGUUGUAGUUGCAGCAUUUACCUGUCAGAGUCUGAAUGACUGAUAGUUCUUAAAUCAUCCGUCACUCAGUGUUAUGUGAUCUGUAACAACUUGUUUUUGUAAUAACUCAUGAAAAUAUAACUGAAAGUAUUUAUGAAGCAUUUUAUAUUGUGUGUGUACAUCUGUGUGUGGACAGCUCACAUUGUGACACCAAUGCAACUGAUGACAAGAGUUUAACUUCACUGUGUGCUUUAUUGGCCUUUUACCCUCAUUAUUAUGUUUUACAAUAAAAGUAUCACAUG